rnacentral:rRNA from 1 species
UGGGGAAUAUUGGACAAUGGGCGAAAGCCUGAUCCAGCCAUGCCGCGUGUGUGAAGAAGGUCUUCGGAUUGUAAAGCACUUUAAGUUGGGAGGAAGGGCAUUAACCUAAUACGUUAGUGUUUUGACGUUACCGACAGAAUAAGCACCGGCUAACUCUGUGCCAGCAGCCGCGGUAAUACAGAGGGUGCAAGCGUUACUCGGAAUUACUGGGCGUAAAGCGCGCGUAGGUGGUUUGUUAAGUUGGAUGUGAAAUCCCCGGGCUCAACCUGGGAACUGCAUUCAAAACUGACUGACUAGAGUAUGGUAGAGGGUGGUGGAAUUUCCUGUGUAGCGGUGAAAUGCGUAGAUAUAGGAAGGAACACCAGUGGCGAAGGCGACCACCUGGACUAAUACUGACACUGAGGUGCGAAAGCGUGGGGAGCAAACA